GCCGCGGUAAUUCCAGCUCCAAUAGCGUAUAUUAAAGUUGUUGCGGUUAAAAAGCUCGUAGUUGGAUCUCGGCGGGCAGGGGGUGGUUCGCUCUUCAGCGCUACUGCCCCGCUUUGCCCGUGUGAUUGGCGGAGGUUUCAGGGUGCUCUUCGUUGAGUGACUCGGAGCGCCGUCAGGUUUACUUUGAAAAAAUUAGAGUGCUCAAAGCAGGCUUUUCACGCUUGAAUAUUCGUGCAUGGAAUAAUGGAAUAGGAACUCGUUUCUAUUUUGUUGGUUUUCGGAAAUCGAGUUAAUGAUUAACAGGGACAAUUGGGGGCAUUAGUAUUCAGACGACAGAGGUGAAAUUCUUGGACCGUCUGAAGACUGACUACUGCGAAAGCAUUUGCCAAGAGUGUUUUCAUUAAUCAAGAACGAAAGUUAGAGGUUCGAAGGCGAUCAGAUACCGCCCUAGUUCUAACCAUAAACGAUGCCAGCUAGCGAUCUGCCGAGUUUUUUUUGUAGGCUCCGCAGGAAGCUUUCGGGAAACCAAAGCUUUUGGGUUCCGGGGGAAGUAUGGUUGCAAAGCUGAAACUUAAAGGAAUUGACGGAAGGGCACCACCAGGAGUGGAGCCUGCGGCUUAAUUUGACUCAACACGGGAAAUCUCACCAGGCCCGGACACUGGAAGGAUUGACAGAUUGAGAGCUCUUUCUCGAUUCGGUGGGUGGUGGUGCAUGGCCGUUCUUAGUUGGUGGAGUGAUUUGUCUGGUUAAUUCCGAUAACGAACGAGACUCUGUCCUGCUAAAUAGUUGGGUCGUCCUUCGUGCGAUCCAAGUUCUUCUUAGAGGGACUGGCUGCGUCUAGCAGCACGAGAUUGAGCAAUAACAGGUCUGUGAUGCCCA
rnacentral:rRNA from 1 species